rnacentral:rRNA from 1 species
CCCUUAGAUGUUCUGGGCCGCACGCGUGCUACACUGAGUGGAUCAGCGGGUCAGGUUGCGCGAAAGCGUUUCCUAAUCUUUAAAUCCGCUCGUGAUGGGGAUUGACGGUUGCAAUUUUCUGUCAUGAACGAGGAAUACCUUGUAAGCGCGGGUCAUCAUCCCGCGCUGAAUACGUCCCUGCCCUUUGUACACACCGCCCGUCGCUCCUACCGAUUGAGUGGUCCGGUGAGGCUUUGGGAUCUAAGCGAAAAGAGCGUUUCGCUCCUUUUGCUGGGAGAACUCAGUCGAACCUUAUCAUUUAGAGGAAGGGGAAGUCGUAACA